AGAGCAUCCACAGCAUGGCCUGGAUUCCUCUCCUCCUCAUCCUGCUCCCUCUCUGCAAAGGGGUCACUUCUCAGGCUGUGGUGACUCAGGAGCCUUCUCUGACUGUGAUCCCAGGAGGAACCGUCACCCUGACCUGCAGCUCCAGCACAGGGGCAGUCACCACUGGGCACUAUCCCUACUGGUUCCAACAGCAUCAUGGCCAGCCUCCAAGACAACUCAUCUAUAAUACCAACAGUCUUGGAUCAGGCACUCCUGCCCGGUUCUCGGGGUUACUCCUUGGGGAUAAGGCUGCCCUCACCAUCAAGGGGGCCCAGCCUGAGGAUGAGGCUGACUAUUACUGCCUGCUGUG